rnacentral:lncRNA from 1 species
GCAGGGAGGGUAGAAAGGACUGCCAAGCAGAGAAAGAAACAUGAAUCAGAACCAGCUAAUACAGGAUGGGAGAGUACAUGUGCCAUUAUCAAACACACAGAGGAGUGAAUAAGAAGCAAAGGAUAUUGCCACGGUUUCUACGGGACUGAACAAAGGGGGACCCACACAGGAAUGAAAACUUAAAACAAAACAGCCACUAAGGAAGGCGCAGAGGGACUUCCUUUCGGCCCGAAACAGUAUCUGUGCUGCCAAAGUUGUUUUCCUUGUGACUCAAAUGAGGAAGAAUAAACUUGGUUUAGGACUAUUCAAUGCCAGUGUUUUCAGAUGGCUCCACCAGCAGAGAACAGAGAAGGGGAGAAGAGGAAAAGCAGCUGGACGUCGGGGACUGCGGUUUGACGUCGGAGAGAAGCAGCUUGACUUCAGAGGGACAGCUUGACCGCUUUGCUUUGGAGAGGAGUCUGGCUGGGGAUGGCUGGACUCCAGGGGAAGAUCGUCUUCCUGUUCCAUCCCUUUUCCAGCUCCCCUCCCACUGAGAGCCACUUUCAUUGGCAAUAAAAUCCUCCAUAUUCACCACCCUUCAAUUCGUUCAUGCGACCUGAUUUUUCCUGGAUGCCAAACAAGAGCCCAGGUGCCACAGGUGUGGAUACUAAAGGCUGUCACACUGACCCUUUGCCCUUGCUGGCAGAGAGCAACCACUUCAUGCAAAAAGGCAGAGGGCCCACUGAGGUAUUUAACACUUAAGCUGUCCGUGGACAGCCAAGCUAAAAGAACACUGUAACACACUCCCUCUGGGGCUUCUGGGGUCCCUGGUAUUCCUGACGAGACACUGUCAUGGGGCCUGCAGGGAGUUUUGCUCCUGCCAACACCCAAAAGCACUCUUUCUGGCUCCUGCACCCGCUCACCUGCGUGCUUCCCCUUCCCUCAAGGGCUUGAGAGCUGCAGGCUGAGUAAGUAGGCACCCUUGUCACGAGGUCCAAAAAGGGAUCAAGGAAAAUUUCCUGUUUCAGUGCUUUGGCAAAAACUUGAGUCAAUGAUACAGAAAAGUUAUGAGAGUUGAAAUCCUUGUCUAGUUCCCACUCAUAAUUCACUGAUUUUUAUUUCUGUAGUUUAU